rnacentral:rRNA from 1 species
GCAUGUCUAAGUAUAAGCAAUUAUACGGCGAAACUGCGAAUGGCUCAUUAAAUCAGUUAUCGUUUAUUUGAUAGUACCUUACUACAAGGAUAACCGUGGUAAUUCUAGAGCUAAUACUUGCAAAAAAUCCCGACUCCGGAAGGGAUGUAUUUAUUAGAUUAAAAACCAAUGCCCUUCGGGGCUCUCUGGUGAUUCAUAAUAACUUCUCGAAUCGCAUGGCCUUGCGCCGGCGAUGGUUCAUUCAAAUUUCUGCCCUAUCAACUUUCGACGGCUGGGUCUUGGCCAGCCGUGGUGACAACGGGUAACGGAGAGUUAGGGCUCGACUCCGGAGAAGGAGCCUGAGAAACGGCUACUACAUCCAAGGAAGGCAGCAGGCGCGCAAAUUACCCAAUACCGACACGGUGAGGUAGUGACAAUAAAUACUGAUACAGGGCUCUUUUGGGUCUUGUAAUUGGAAUGAGUACAAUUUAAAUCCCUUAACGAGGAACAAUUGGAGGGCAAGUCUGGUGCCAGCAGCCGCGGUAAUUCCAGCUCCAAUAGCGUAUAUUAAAGUUGUUGCGGUUAAAAAGCUCGUAGUUGAACCUUGGGCCUGGCUGGCCGGUCCGCCUCACCGCGUGCACUGGUCCGGCCGGGCCUUUCCCUCUGGGGAACCGCAUGCCCUUCACUGGGUGUGCCGGGGAACCAGGACUUUUACUUUGAAAAAAUUAGAGUGUUCAAAGCAGGCCUAUGCUCGAAUACAUUAGCAUGGAAUAAUAGAAUAGGACGUGCGGUUCUAUUUUGUUGGUUUCUAGGACCGCCGUAAUGAUUAAUAGGGACAGUCGGGGGCAUCAGUAUUCAAUUGUCAGAGGUGAAAUUCUUGGAUUUAUUGAAGACUAACUACUGCGAAAGCAUUUGCCAAGGAUGUUUUCAUUAAUCAGGAACGAAAGUUAGGGGAUCGAAGACGAUCAGAUACCGUCGUAGUCUUAACCAUAAACUAUGCCAACUAGGGAUCGGACGAUGUUAUUUUUUAUGACUCGUUCGGCACCUUACACGAAAGUACAAGUUUUUGGGUUCCGGGGGGAGUAA